AGGACGAACGCUGGCGGCGUGCCUAACACAUGCAAGUCGAGCGAGAGAACCCGCAAGGGUGAGUAAAGCGGCGGACGGGUGAGUAAUACGUAGGUAAUCUACCUUCAAGUGGGGAAUAACAUUCCGAAAGGAGUGCUAAUACCGCAUGUGGAUCCUGGUUGAUGAACUGUAUCCGAAAGGGGCUAGCUAAUAGCUUUCGCUAGAAGAUGAGCCUGCCGUCCCAUUAGCUAGUUGGUAAGGUAAUGGCCUUACCGAAGUCUUCGAGUUGGGUAGCGUGGUCUGGAGGAGGACCGGCCAGCCAC
rnacentral:rRNA from 1 species